GUAGGUGGCAAGCGUUGUCCGGAAUUAUUGGGCGUAAAGCGCGCGCAGGCGGUUCUUUAAGUCUGAUGUGAAAGCCCACGGCUCAACCGUGGAGGGUCAUUGGAAACUGGAGAACUUGAGUACAGAAGAGGAAAGCGGAAUUCCACGUGUAGCGGUGAAAUGCGUAGAGAUGUGGAGGAACACCAGUGGCGAAGGCGGCUUUCUGGUCUGUAACUGACGCUGAGGCGCGAAAGCGUGGGGAGCAAACAGGAUUAGAUACCCUGGUAGUCCACGCCGUAAACGAUGAGUGCAAAGUGUUAGGGGGGUUUCCGCCCCCCUUAGUGCUGCAGCUAACGCAUUAAGCACUCCGCCUGGGAGUACGGCCGCAAGGCUG
rnacentral:rRNA from 1 species